UUGGAGGUGUGUACGCCUGAGGUGGAAGGGCAGGGGGUGCAGAAUCCCCUUCCUGUCUUUUCGUGGUCCCCAUUUUCCCUCUCCUCCACCUCCCUCCCUUUCCAAUGCAGGUUUCUUAAACCUGAUCACUUUCCCAGACUGAGGGCGGUUUCUUGGGCAGCCAGGGGACUAGAGGGAGGAGGAGGUGGGGAGCCUUAUCCGCACGCGCGUGUGCAUGCAUGUGGAAGGGGGGUGGUGGCGAUUGCGCCUAGGCCUGGGCAGAUCCCAACGCAAACUUUGAAGGCACAAGAACCGGAAAGUUAAGAGCUUGUUACAGGAUGGGGGUGGGGCUGGGUGCAGAGUUGCCCCCCACCACGGGGAUCCUCGAGACGUCGACAUGAAGAGAAAGGUGGACUCGAGUUCGGUCAUUCAGUCUCGCCCACCCCUGCCGCAGCCACUACCCAGCGGUGGGAAAAACGAGAGAGGAAGAAAGAGGGAAGAAAGUUGCGGCCGGGCUCUCUCGCGGGGCGGUGCGCGGAGCUGCUGGGAGCUCGCCCAAGAACAAUUGCUCUCCCUCAACUGAACUCUCCGGUCCGGGGGACCAGUUCCCAAGGCGCAGUGCGAGCUGUCUUAGGUUAAUUCACCGAGGUAAGGUGGGGGUGGGGGUCCUGAGCAACCAAGGGAGGGGUUGGCUUGCUUGCGCGGCGCGUGCGUGAAAGAAAACUAGAGGCACGAGGCCAAGCCCCGCAUUUUACUCAGUCUCCAACUUCCCUACCCCUUCCUUCCAAAGUAGAACCCGGCCCUGGAGCUGAGCACUCGCCCAGGACCCACCGCUCGGCACAAACACCGCUUGCCCAGAAGAAAAGGCAUGCAACACACCUCUUCCCGUCUCCCCGAAAGUAGCGACGCUCUCUUCCAUAACCGCUAGAUUCAUUCGAGAAAAGAUCCCAGGCAGAGGUUUUAUUUGAAGAUAAUUUUGGCUAGCCAUUAGACCCCACUUGUUCCGAACUGGUUCUCUCAAUAUACAGCGGUCAGCGCGCAUCAAGAUUUGGCUCUAUUGCUGUUCAAGAGAAAGGCAGGAGGGAAAGUCCUAGUGAUGCGGUGCACUGGCUGGCUGCCUCCCUUUGCCAGACCCGGGCGACGGCAGGAAGAGAGCAUUGUUUUCAACUCAAGGGUGCAGGAGGGUCUGUCUCCGCCUGCAAUCAACAGGCCUUGUAAUAUGAGAGUGCCUCACAUAGCGGGAGCCUCAGAUCCAAGUUCCUCAGUCCUUACAUUGACAUCGUUGGCGCCGGACUGGUAAGUGUUAGCGGCCAUCAGAAAGAAAGAUGCCUAUUAUUUGGGUUCCAUCCAUAUUUCAUUAGCAUAAUUGUGCGUGCGUUCCCAGACAGUAAGAAAUGAGCAGAAUGAAGUAGUGGACAUACCUAGAAUUUAUUUAAUUUCCUAAUGUGGAUCUCAUGAGCAACAUAGACGAAGGGUUUGAAAUUCUCAUUCAUUCCCCGCCUCUGGGGCGGAAUCACCUCAUCAUCUGAGAGGAAAUUCCAGCACAUCCUUCCACUGUUAACAGAUUUCCUAGUGUACUACUGCCCGGUUUUUAUCACUAAUUACGCUCUGGGGCUUGUACUGAACACUAUAAUGCAUUACAUGGAACAACAAUGAAUCAACUCAUUUGGUGAACUAGAAUGCAUAUUUAUAAUUAGGCUUCAAAAAAUUACCCAUAAUGAUAGAGUGAAGGUUUGCAGCCUGCCACACAGGUGGAUCUAGAAGUCAUGAUGCAGUCUCCUGUUUCACUAGUUACGACACGAAUUCCUAACCACCCUAUAAAUUAGCUUUAUGCUGUACUAAACUCCACUCAUAAAAAAAAUGACAUUAAGGUUUCCUAGGUAACUAAUGCAUUUCCAAAGGGACCAGGUCUUAGGAGACAAAGAGGACAGGGAAGAGAGUGGGGGAGGGGAAGAAAAAAUGUAAAAACCAAAAAAAAAAAAAAAAGAUUAGAUUGGACCCAUGUGAUGCAAACAGAGUAUUUCAGGGGAGGAACCGUAAAGUUUUACUGUGUGUGUUUGACAUAGAUGUGGCAUUGUCGUGAAUCCCAUCCUUGGUCAAUAAAAUACCCCAUAGACUGCCCGCCUAUCACAUAGGCCAAUGUUUCUCUGCGGAUUCGAUGAUGUGAACUGAGAAACCGGGAGCCUACUAUUCAGCUGCUGAGCUGUAUCCACUCUGACAAGGCCAACCUGAGCCUUCCACUGGCUGUAUUUAGAUGCUGCCAAAUGUCAGGAUGGGAGGGAAAAGUGGCGUUAAUUGAGAUAUUUUGAAACAUGCUCGUGCUUUUGAUCAUCAUGGACUCAGACUCCGAGAACCUUGGUGCAACCUUAGAAGGUUGAGGCUUGAGGGUUGAAUCGACAGAGCCAGCUAAUUUCAAAAUCCCUAAUUUAAUGUUGUCUUUUCUGUGCAAGAGAGAUGCCUGUCCGCUGAGGAACACCUUGAACACUUAAAAGGAACCAGAAAGGCUGUAGCUAGAGGGAACUUAAGGCUCAGCUCUCUUAUAAGGAGAGCAGGGAUUCUGAAAUAUUUUGUCACCACAAAAGUUCUUACUAGACUGUCCCAUGUAGGGUUUCUUUCGCAAACUUCUUUUCAGAUUUAUUUUCAUUUGUGUGAAUGUGUGUAUCUCUCUGUGUGUAUGCCACACAUUAACAAGUACCCCUGGGGUCGGAGGAGUGUGUUAUAGAACUGAUAGAAGACGUUUGUCACGGUUUAAGGUUGUCUGGGAGUUUGAGAGAAGGGAGGCAACAGGCUGUGAGUAGGAUUCGGUUCAGUCUAUCUAUGGACCACAUAGGUGAACAUGUCAAGUCGGGACACUGACUUGAUGUACCGAAGAAAGGGAGAUUUCAGCAUUGGUCCAUCCUCCCUGUUGGUUUUAUUGUGUAGGACACACCUACGUAACUGUUCACAACAGCUUGGCUAAGAGCUCUCAGAGGCGUGCUAGACAAAGCUGUUAGUGCCAGGCUUCUAAUAAAUUUGUCUAAGGGGUUAGACCAUUGGCUUUGGCCCACUGGUUGACAAGACAUCUAAAUCAAAACUACUCGGAUUUGCAGAAUCACGAUAUGGAGGAAGGAAGUAGUUGAGCCUUGAGACUGUGAUAAGUGAACAUGCCUACUCAGAAACUAUAGAAUUUGUACCUGAACCUGUGGACAACGAACGUCUUGUUUUAUGUGCUUCAUCUGAAUCCUGUCCAGUGGCAACUGGUCACUCAUACAAAUGUCUGCCCAUCUAGUGUAGACACAGAUUUAAUUGUCAGUGUUCGAAGCCUUUCCUGUGGCCAAGCUUCAGAAUCCGGAGCUGCUUUUGGAGCACACGAUCUGCAUGUCACUGCUCCAUGCUCUUCUCUGCCUCCAAAUAAGAACGAGAAACUUCUACUGGUUCUUCUCUCUGUCUCUAAGAAGUUUCCCACAAGCUAUUUGCAAUAACAAGUCCAAAACUUGGAUAUUAGAUCCUUUGAAGUGGAGAGGAUUACUUUACCAAUGACAACUGUACUGUCUCUUUUCCCUCGUUCACCUCCCCAUCCGACCUUAGGGACACCUUUGAAAUAAAGCUUUUUCUUUCUGGAGAGACAAACAACAGAAUUGGAAAUACACAGACAUUCACAAAUCAAGAGCAAUGAGUUUUGCCUAGAGUUAUCAGGGCGUCUGUGGUUAAUGACAAUGGAAUCAGACCUGGCAGGGGAUCACAAGAUGACACACUGGUCCACACCCCUUAUCUCAAGUUGGAAAACAGAGACUGGCUGCCAUGGGGAACCGACACAUGAAUGGCUUGCAUUCUUUUAGAGUUGGAAGGUGCCCGAGAGUUCCCUAGUCAAGUCCUCCGUUUCACAGAGGAAGUCAUCAUCGUACAGAAAAAUGAAGGGAUCGGUCUGGGAGCGCACAGAAAAUCAGACUCAUCAGUGAGUGAGUGGUACCCAGGCUCCUCACUCCCAUGAUGCUCUCUGUUCUUCCCAUACAGUCCCAAGAGACACAUGGCUGCUUCCUCCAGAGUACAUUCUGUGCACCAUCCUUGAUCUCCUGCCAUUCCUUUUUAGUCCUUUCUUUCUCUUAUUUCAAUUUAUUUUAAUACUUCAUUUCCCUUAUGCUGGCCUCAUUGUGAACUACUGGCCACAAAGCAACUUAGAAUGCAGGAAGCAAGGUUAGAGUGGGGACUGGAAGGGUUUAUCAAAGGAGGAGCAAAAGUGGUUUUAAAUGUGAAAUGGCUGCUGUCUUAUUGCUGGUGACAUAGGUUGGUUCUUCCUGAAGAGAGGGCUUUACGGUGGUCGUGCCUCGUUCUCAGGGAUUUUAAGACCCCUAGAUGAUGCCUGAAACCUCUAAGUAUGUGUGCAUGUGUUGUCUUCUAUGCAUAGACACCUAUGAUAAAAUUUAACAUGCAAAUAAGAUGCUGUAAGAUUAAUAACCAGCAAUAAACUAUAACAAUCACAGCAAUAGACUGUUGUAAAAGCUAUUUAAAUUUUACGAGUUUUGUCUUUCUGGAAUUUUCCAUCUAUGAUGUUCAGAUUUUUGUUGGCCAUGACUAAUCACAACAGAGGAAGCAGAACCUUAGAUAAGUAGGGCUCUCUCCCCCGGGUAACCUCUCCCCUCAGAUAACCUCUGUCUAAUCUUUUUGAUUGUUAUUGCAGAUGACCUUAGAAGGUUUCCAUUUUAUAAAAAACCUUUCAACCAUCUUUUUCUUGCUUCUUCGUCUUCUUUUCUCUAUAUUAAAAAAAAAAAACAAGAAGAUCCAUUUUACUGAAGGAAUACUUGGUAGAACUUUUAGUUUCAUUUUCCUACAAAAACUGGCUCAUCAACAAGAUUUUCAGAGUAGGGUUCAUGUAGGUGGGUGGGAGCUCUAGGGUACCGAUGUCAAGUGAAGUCAAAGGUGGUGUUUCUGAUGUGCAGAAUUUCCCAAAACAGAACCUCUUGCCACAACAGUUCUUGAGUUGUUCUCUGCCUUGAGGGGCUGGAGAGAUGGCUCAGUAGUUAAGAGCACUGGCUGCUCUUCUGAGGACCCAGGUUCAAUUUCCAGCACCCACAUGGAAGUUCACAACUGGUGUGGGAAGUCCUUCUGUAUAUGUGUUGCUUUUAUUGGCCAAUGAAUAAAGCUGUUUCUGCCAGUGGCUUAGCAAAAUAGAGCUUGGUGAGAAAACUAAACUGAAUGCUGCGAGAACGAAGGCAGAAUCAAGAAGAAGCCAUGCAGCUGCCCCAUCAGAGACAGACAUACCAAAACUUUGCUGGUAAACCAUGAGCCUCAUGGUAAAGUAUAAAAUAAUAAAAAUGGGUUAAUUUAAGAUAUGAACUAGCUGAAAAUACACUUAGUUAUGGCCAAACAAUAUUGCAAUUGAGACAGAGUUCUGUGUGAUUAUUUUGUGUCUGGGCAGCAGGGAAUGAAUGAGCAGGCUCCCCCAACACACAACUGUCUAUAACCCGAAGAUAUGACAUCCUUACACAGACAAAACAAAAACUGCCUUGAAGCGAUGCUGUGUAGUUGGUUUGGGGCUGUCUGGGUAGCUGAUCAGUCAAGAUAUCAUCUUAAUGUGAGGUUCACAUGCUAUUGAUCCAGUCCUGUCAGAUCAUGGGUACUUUCUCCAAGUCUGUGCCGCCGAUGUUAUAUAGAACUAUUUGGGGUUGUGCAUGGAUAAACAUUUUUAAAUUUAACAGUGAUAUUUAUGUUGUGUUAAUGCAUGAAAUCUAUUUAUGGAGAUAUAAAUCUUUCCUUAACUAAAUUUAUUGUGAAACUUGACUUCUGGCAAUGGAGCCUAAUUUGUAAUAAGUGAAGCCUUCCAUCAAGAAUUUCUUUAAAAGUUGGGCUGGAAAAAAUACUUUAAAACUUAUUUGAAGGUUCCACUUAUGGCCUGGCUGCAGAAGCUCUAGAAGACCAGUUCUACAACAGUUAAAAACAUGUCCCACUUGAGGGUGCAGGUGUGUUCAGAUGGGAGUGAAGGUGUUCAUGGAGACCAGAGGAGAGCGCCAGAUCUUCUGAAGCUGCCUGGUGUGGGAACUGGGAAUUGAACUUGAGUCUUCUGUGAAAACAGCACAUGCUCUUAACCUCUGAGCCGUGUCUAACCCCCCUGAUGCCAUUCUUAGGAAGCCAUUCUUAUAAUAGCCAGCAGGAGGAAUCUAGUGUGCAAAAAUAUUAUAUUUCUACUUCUGUGGUGCACGGAGUGAGAAUCUACUGGAAAGAGGUAUCAAGGUAUUUCCUGGAAUGAUAGAGCCUUAGAUUGCAGUGCCCACAUUUGUCAAAACAGUGUUCCUCUAGAUUUGUGCAAUUUAAUUUAUGUAUAUGUUGUAUCUAAUGAGAAAUAUCCAUUAAACAAUAUUGAACUCAACUUAA